UACGGAGGGUGCGAGCGUUGUCCGGAAUCACUGGGCGUAAAGGGCGCGUAGGCGGCGCGGGUAGUCAUCGGUGAAAGUUCAGGGCUCAACUCUGAAUCGGCCGGUGAUACUCCCGUGCUCGAGCACUGCAGAGGCAGGUGGAAUUCCGGGUGUAGCGGUGGAAUGCGUAGAGAUCCGGAAGAACACCGGUGGCGAAGGCGGCCUGCUGGGCAGUAGCUGACGCUGAUGCGCGACAGCGUGGGGAGCAAACAGG
rnacentral:rRNA from 1 species